rnacentral:rRNA from 1 species
ACGAGUGGCGAACGGGUGAGUAACACGUAGGAAUCUACCCAGAAGUGGGGGACAACCCGGAGAAAUCCGGACUAAUACCGCAUACGCCCUAAGGGGUAAAGCGGGGGACCUUUUCGAAGGCCUCGCGCUUUUGGAUGAGCCUGCGUCGGAUUAGCUUGUUGGUGAGGUAAUGGCUCACCAAGGCAACGAUCCGUAGCUGGUCUGAGAGGAUGACCAGCCACACUGGGACUGAGACACGGCCCAG